AAAUUGAAGAGUUUGAUCAUGGCUCAGAUUGAACGCUGGCGGCAGGCCUAACACAUGCAAGUCGAGCGGUAGCACAGGAGAGCUUGCUCUCUGGGUGACGAGCGGCGGACGGGUGAGUAAUGUCUGGGAAACUGCCUGAUGGAGGGGGAUAACUACUGGAAACGGUAGCUAAUACCGCAUAACGUCUACGGACCAAAGUGGGGGACCUUCGGGCCUCACGCCAUCAGAUGUGCCCAGAUGGGAUUAGCUAGUAGGUGGGGUAAUGGCUCACCUAGGCGACGAUCCCUAGCUGGUCUGAGAGGAUGACCAGCCACACUGGAACUGAGACACGGUCCAGACUCCUACGGGAGGCAGCAGUGGGGAAUAUUGCACAAUGGGCGCAAGCCUGAUGCAGCCAUGCCGCGUGUGUGAAGAAGGCCUUAGGGUUGUAAAGCACUUUCAGCGAGGAGGAAGGGCAAUGUGUUAAUAGCACAUUGCAUUGACGUUACUCGCAGAAGAAGCACCGGCUAACUCCGUGCCAGCAGCCGCGGUAAUACGGAGGGUGCAAGCGUUAAUCGGAAUUACUGGGCGUAAAGCGCACGCAGGCGGUUUGUUAAGUCAGAUGUGAAAUCCCCGCGCUUAACGUGGGAACUGCAUUUGAAACUGGCAAGCUAGAGUCUUGUAGAGGGGGUAGAAUUCCAGGUGUAGCGGUGAAAUGCGUAGAGAUCUGGAGGAAUACCGGUGGCGAAGGCGGCCCCCUGGACAAAGACUGACGCUCAGGUGCGAAAGCGUGGGGAGCAAACAGGAUUAGAUACCCUGGUAGUCCACGCUGUAAACGAUGUCGAUUUGGAGGUUGUGCCCUUGAGGCGUGGCUUCCGGAGCUAACGCGUUAAAUCGACCGCCUGGGGAGUACGGCCGCAAGGUUAAAACUCAAAUGAAUUGACGGGGGCCCGCACAAGCGGUGGAGCAUGUGGUUUAAUUCGAUGCAACGCGAAGAACCUUACCUACUCUUGACAUCCAGAGAAUUCGCUAGAGAUAGCUUAGUGCCUUCGGGAACUCUGAGACAGGUGCUGCAUGGCUGUCGUCAGCUCGUGUUGUGAAAUGUUGGGUUAAGUCCCGCAACGAGCGCAACCCUUAUCCUUUGUUGCCAGCGAUUCGGUCGGGAACUCAAAGGAGACUGCCGGUGAUAAACCGGAGGAAGGUGGGGAUGACGUCAAGUCAUCAUGGCCCUUACGAGUAGGGCUACACACGUGCUACAAUGGCGUAUACAAAGAGAAGCGAACUCGCGAGAGCAAGCGGACCUCAUAAAGUACGUCGUAGUCCGGAUUGGAGUCUGCAACUCGACUCCAUGAAGUCGGAAUCGCUAGUAAUCGUAGAUCAGAAUGCUACGGUGAAUACGUUCCCGGGCCUUGUACACACCGCCCGUCACACCAUGGGAGUGGGUUGCAAAAGAAGUAGGUAGCUUAACCUUCGGGAGGGCGCUUACCACUUUGUGAUUCAUGACUGGGGUGAAGUCGUAACAAGGUAACCGUAGGGGAACCUGCGGUUGGAUCACCUCCUUA
rnacentral:rRNA from 1 species